UUUUCAGCGGAACGAGAAAAAGAAACCAAACCUUAUCUCUUUUAUCUCUCUAUCUGUUUCACUUCAUCUAGCCUCUUCCACCACUUCUCUCUAUCUGUUUCGCUUCAUUUUUUUUUUUAUCAUAACAAUUAGAUGCUUGUGAAUCACAACUUUAGUAUUAGGUUUUGUGUCCUCUUCUUUAACAUCGGCUCUUGAAGAUUAGUUCUGAAUCGGUGAGAAAGAGGUGAUGAUGAUAAUCAACAACAACUGAAUCGAAAGGCACUAAAGAAGUAGAAAGCUCCACCACCAUCAUCAAAGCCAUCUAAAUCUAAUAGUGAAGUGGUGCAAAGGAAAGCAAAAAGAGAAGGUUAACAACAUUCUGGUGUUUGAUAAACCUGGGAUUUAAUUUGUGAUUUUGUGUUUUUAAUGACUUGGGAACUCAUGGAACAAAAGUUAUUAUCUACAAUCUUUGGUUCACCGACGAUGGGGAAAUGAAGCUCAAUUUUGAAUCAGAUGUAAAGGAUAUCCAACUAGCUGGAGCCCCAGAAAUGUCCAAGAAAACUACUUUACAAGCUCUAUGCCAACAACAUCUGGCCAACAAGCUUCACUAUUCUCUUCGUAGUACUUAUCCAUCUUAAACCUGAGGUUACCCGAUCAUUUCAGAAUAAUAUUGCUUGGAAAAGUCGUUCGGCGGCACAAACCUAAUAGUGGUCCAAAUUCAGAGGUCCAUUUCAUCUUUGGUUUCAUGUUUACUUUCUUUGCUGCUACGCGGUGGUCUCUUUUCAUAGUACGUUCUUUGUUUUUGUUUAUACACUCAGACUCAGGGUGCAGUAGUAACUACAAUUGGGUUCCUAAAGGAUGCUCCUAAGAUAAAUAUCCCUGGAUUCUUCAUUUACCACAAGAACAGGCUAAUAAUGUCGUUUUUGGAUGUUGUCAGUCGGGAUGAGGUGUAGCAGGUACUUUGGAGGUUAUUUUCAUAACAAGCAAAAUUUUGGGAGGACUACAAUUUUUCAAAUCCUUGAAACCCGCUUGAAAGGAAUGACAUUGGAGUAUCGGACACCAAUUUGGAAAAGGAUUCAUUAACAUUAAUGGGUCGUAUAGAUUUGCGAUAGAUUUGCGAAAAGCUCAUGCUUCCGGUCAUUCCACGGGUAAGAAAAUCCUUUUCCAUCCUAUUUCAGUUCUCUAGCUUGGUUUGGGCGUCUAAUAUUAGGUAUUGUUCUUAAAAGUUGUUUCAUGUUAUAUGUUUUCAUUAAGGUCCAUGAUAGCGUGCAAAUUCGUUGCAAUGGUAUUACCUGAGAGGUUAGUGUACAUGAUAAGAAUAAGCUUGUAAUGUUCGCAGCUAGUCCUUUAGCUUGUAAUAACACAAAUGGUACUCAUCCUUUAUGGUUGUUUAUUUGGAUUAUUAGUUGCCUGGCGUGGUCUUGCCCAUUUAACACCCUCCAAAAAUGGUGGAGGCUCUUAACUAUAUGAACAAGCUUUUUCUACAAGGAAGAUCUAUCACUUGUUUUACUUUUCGAAUGUGAACUCCAUUUGCUCUUUUCAGUGUCUUGAGCAGGAAGAGGACACAAUUGUCAAAUUUUCGACACGUCAUCGUAUUUUCCUCACAGGUUGAAUUUUUUAUGUACAAGUAUUAUGUUGUUAUUGUUUUGAAUUCAUUUUGUUUGAAUUUUUUGCAGGUGGAAUUAAAGUUUGAUCGUAUGAAUGGUAAUAGAUGAAGCUAUGAACCUCUCUACGAGUGUCAACUGGCAAGUUUGCUGGCUCAGGGAUGGAGUAAUGGACCUGAUUCGAGCUAGUUUGUCAGAAGAUGAAGUCUUAGAUGGUGAUGUCUAUGUUUUGAAACUUUAUGGUUGUAAAUCUUGUAAUAGGAACAUAGUUCAAGGUUUUCCACUUAAUGUUAGAUUUUUUUCUGACUUGGAACUCGUAGUAUUUAGUUGAAAUUGUAGACUGAAUUCACUUUUCAAUACAUAUUGAGCUUUAAAGGCGUUAUCAAUUUAA